rnacentral:lncRNA from 1 species
GAGCACCCGGGCCGCCGCGAGCAGCUCUCGGAAUCCUCGCCAGAUGCAACCUGGAGAGAUGGCGGAGACGGCCGCGGCGAACGCCUAGCACCGAGGGAGCGUGGCUGGGGAGAAAGUUAAAAGAGGAAAACAGAAAUUUUUUAAGUGGGGGAGGAUGGCGUGAGCAUGCAAGGCGGGAAUCUUAAAACUCCGAUCCCGAGAGCUGCGGGGCAGCAGGCACACUGGCAAAGCGAGUUCAGGUGGCGGCGAGCGACAGAGGACACCUGCGCGGACGCAGCAGGAUGCCCAGGGCGAGCGACGGGAGCCGGAGGUCCCCGCGGAUCGCACGCCGCCGCCCGGCUGGUGCAAGCUAACGGGAUGGGAGCCUUGGACGUCGGUGGACUUCUCUGGAAAAAUAGGCCCUAGGCAACGGGAAUGACCCCUAGGGGUUGGAAGCAAACAGGUGGCAGAGGCUUGCAGCCUGAAAGGUGAUGCCACUUUCCUGGCUUCCGGCUGUGAAGAGCAGACGCUUUUGGCCUCUUUAGGAAUUUUGCCACCUUUAGCCCGCCCCGAGAUUUGCAGGUGAGCAAGGCAACCGCGGCUUGCAGACACUUUGGAACUGCUACAGUUGCUUGAGAUUUGCUGUUAGUCCUUCGCCUUUCUACUUCGUCCUUGCUACUUUCAUAUCUACCCUGUGGAUGUACACCUUCAGCCUCUAUUCGCCUGACUUUUCUUUUGUAAGUUUAAAACAGCUUUUUACAUUUUAAAAAAAAAAUCAUAAAAUCAAACUUGAAAACUGUUUCAAGCUACGUUUGGAAGAAUGAAGGUUUUUUUUCGUUUUUUGUUUUUUUUUGUUUUUUGUACCCUCCUUUUCUUGCCUUGCAAGUCCCAGAUGAAUGAACUCAUGUUCCUGAUGAAUAACAAUUGCAGAAUCAUGGAAACGUUAAGCCCACUCUACCAGAAGUUAAAUACUUAGCUGGUACUGACUGAAUACAUUUGGACAGAGUUCUGACCGGUUAUGGUGACAUGUAUUUGCAAGCAAUGGGAAAGGAGACCUUUAGUGUCUUUUCUUCUUGAUGAAUAAAAAGGCUUCAGGAUUUAGAAAACUUUAAAAUCAC